rnacentral:lncRNA from 1 species
UUGAUUGUUUGUUUCUGGAUUAUUUCUUCUCAAUAGAGUUCAAAACCGCUUCGGGGUGUGAGGAUUCAUUCGACUACGUUGGUUUGUCUACGUCAUGGAUUCGUUCUUCUUCCAAGCGUGAUCUCAAGCAACAUGAUCAUUUCCCUAGAUACCACUACUAUCAUUGACAUGCUAGUUGUCUCGUUUCUUACUCUAUGUCUCGCUGUCUACCACUGUUAUGUUCAGCCUCCCAACAUUUCCAUGAAAAGCCUCUAACCCCCUCCACAACCUAGCAAACCCUUGUUUGUCUAUGUUACCGCUUGCUCAGCCUUCUUAUAGUGUUGCUAGUUGCAGGUGUAGUUGCUUCCAUGUGAAAACAUGGAUUCCUUGUUAUAUGAUCGUAUUAUUGCUAUUUAAUUUCAUGCACCUAUAUACUUGGUAAAAGGUGGAAGGCUUGGCCUUCUAGGUUGGUGUUUUGUUCCAUAUUUGUU